UUUUCGCAAUGGGGGCAACCCUGACGAAGCAAUGCCGCGUGAAUGAAGAAGGCCUUCGGGUUGUAAAGUUCUUUCGUGGAGGACGAAAAGGUGGGUGCUAAUAUCGCCUGCUGUUGACGUGAAUCCAAGAAGAAGCACCGGCUAACUCCGUGCCAGCAGCCGCGGUAAUACGGGGGGUGCAAGCGUUAAUCGGAAUCACUGGGCGUAAAGGGUGCGUAGGCGGUGCAUUAGGUCUGUCGUGAAAUCCCCGGGCUCAACCUGGGAAUGGCGGUGGAAACCGGUGUACUAGAGUAUGGGAGAGGGUGGUGGAAUUCCAGGUGUAGCGGUGAAAUGCGUAGAGAUCUGGAGGAACAUCAGUGGCGAAGGCGGCCACCUGGCCCAAUACUGACGCUGAGGCACGAAAGCGUGGGGAGCAAACAGGAUUAGAUACCCUGGUAGUCCACGCCCUAAACGAUGAAUACUAGAUGUUUGGUGCCAAGCGUACUGAGUGUCGUAGCUAACGCGAUAAGUAUUCCGCCUGGGAAGUACGGCCGCAAGGUUAAAACUCAAAGGAAUUGACGGG
rnacentral:rRNA from 1 species